rnacentral:rRNA from 1 species
UACGAAGGGGGCUAGCGUUGCUCGGAAUCACUGGGCGUAAAGCGCACGUAGGCGGAUUGUUAAGUCAGGGGUGAAAUCCUGGAGCUCAACUCCAGAACUGCCUUUGAUACUGGCGAUCUUGAGUCCGGGAGAGGUGAGUGGAACUGCGAGUGUAGAGGUGAAAUUCGUAGAUAUUCGCAAGAACACCAGUGGCGAAGGCGACUCACUGGCCCGGUACUGACGCUGAGGCGCGAAAGCGUGGGGAGCAAACAGG